GAUGAACGCUGGCGGCGUGCCUAAUACAUGCAAGUCGAGCGAACAGACGCGGAGCUUGCUCCUCUGACGUUAGCGGCGGACGGGUGAGUAACACGUGGAUAACCUACCUAUAAGACUGGGAUAACUUCGUGAAACCGGAGCUAAUACCGGAUAAUAUAUUGAACCGCAUGGUUCAAUAGUGAAAGACGGUUUUGCUGUCACUUCUAGAUGGAUCCGCGCCGCAUUAGCUAGUUGGUACGGUAACGGCUUACCAAGGCGGCGCUGCGUAGCCGACCUGAGAGGGUGAUCGGCCACACUGGAACUGAGACACGGUCCAGACUCCUACGGGAGGCAGCAGUAGGGAAUCUUCGGCAAUGGGCGAAAGCCUGACGGAGCAACGCCGCGUGAGUGAAGAAGGUCUUCGGAUCGUAAAACGCUGUUAGUGGGGAAGAACGAAUGUGUAAGUAACUAUGCACGUCUUGACGGUACCUAAACAGAAAGCCACGGCUAACUACGUG
rnacentral:rRNA from 1 species